rnacentral:rRNA from 1 species
GACGAACGCUGGCGGCGUGCUUAACACAUGCAAGUCGAACGGAAAGGCCCUGCUUUUGUGGGGUGCUCGAGUGGCGAACGGGUGAGUAACACGUGAGUAACCUGCCCUUGACUUUGGGAUAACUUCAGGAAACUGGGGCUAAUACCGGAUAGGAGCUCCUGCUGCAUGGUGGGGGUUGGAAAGUUUCGGCGGUUGGGGAUGGACUCGCGGCUUAUCAGCUUGUUGGUGGGGUAGUUGCUUACCAAGGCUUUGACGGGUAGCCGGCCUGAGAGGGUGACCGGCCACCUUGGGACUGAGAUACGGACCAGUAUCCUACGGGAGGCAGCAGUGGGGAAUAUUGCACAAUGGGCGGAAGCCUGAUGCAGCAACGCCGCGUGCGGGAUGACGGCCUUCGGGUUGUAAACCGCUUUCGCAUGUGACGAAGCGUGAGUGGCGGUAAUGGGUAAAGAAGCACCGGCUAACUACGUG